ACCAGAAAAGAAAUUCCUCCUGUCAUAUAAUUGUCAAACACCAAAUGCACAAAUAAAGAAUGAAUAUUAAAAGCAGUAAUGGAAAAAUGUCAAGUAACAUAUAAAGGCAGACUUGUCAAAAUUACACCAGACUUCACACUAGAGACUAUGAUAGUCAGAAGAUUCUGGGCACUUGAAAUACAGACUCUGAGAGAACAAAAAUGGCAGUCCAGGCUACUGAAUCCAGCAAAACUCUCAUUAAACAUAGAUGGAGAAACCAAUAUUCCAAGACAAAACCAAAUUUAUAGUUUCUUGUCACAAAUCCAGCCUACAAAGGAUAGUAGAUGGAAAACUACAACACAAAGAGGGAAACUACCCCAUAGAAAAAGCAAGAAAGUAAUAUUCUUGCAAGAAAUCAAAAAGAAGAGAGCCACACAAACAUUCUACCUCUCCUAAUAAAAAUGGCAGAAAACAACAAUCACUAUUCUUUAAUAUCUAUUAACAGCAAUGAACUCAAUUCCAUAGUAAAAAGUCAGACUGGGCUGGAGAGAUGGCUCGGCGGUUGGGAGCACCCGACUGCUCUUCCGGAGGUCAUGAGCUCGGUUCCCAGCAACCACAUGGUGGCUCACAACCAUCUGUAGGGAGAUCCGAUUCUCUCUUCUGGUGUGUCUGAGGACAGCUACAGUGUACUUGUAUGUGGUGAAUGAAUAAAUCUUUAAAAAAAAAAAA
rnacentral:lncRNA from 1 species